UGUUGAUAUAAAACCAUUUACAUAAUCAUUAUAUUCCAGUUUUUCAGUAUAAGCUUGAUCACCGGCUAUCGCAAAAUGGACCAUUUGAUGUACCAGGCCAUCGCCCAGCAUCCAGUACUGCUGCAAAAAGAAAAUAGUCUCCGUUCCUUUAUUUCGUAACGUAAGUGUAGCUCCGGUUGUGUAUAGGUUAUAUCGAAACUUUCUACACGUCGAACCGAAUUCAUCAGGUUGGGAUUGUUAGUCGAUUUCGGUAAUUUUUUACGUCACGAAUCGCUCCAAAAUGUCCUGGCUUGAGAGGGCUACGAGUUUGGUUGUUAUCUAUAAUGGACUCGAACUUAUUCUGUUCAUAUUUCGUUCUAUAUCGAUUGAUAGCAUUUCGUCGGUGAGUAUUACGUAAAGGCGUUCUUGGUACAUAUCGUGAACCUGAUGGCUUAAGUAUUACUUUUAGAUUUUUUGUAUUAAUCGGUUUUCUUUCAGGAGACUUGCGGCGUAUUUGAAUCAUAGUUUUGCUGGUUUUGGUUGGCGAUGAUAGUUUUUUCGGUGGUGAUUUCUCCAGCGGGAUUUUGAAUUCAUCUGUUUUUUCUUUUUGUAGAUGUUCAUGUUUCCAAUUCGUAUCCUCGUCCGGUCUUGGUCUGGGCCUUGCCCAAGUGAUUUGUUGCAGCUUGAGCAAGUAAUGAUGUUUACUCGUAUUGCUUCCAUUUUCUUCCUAGUUGGUUCAGAAUACGGCUUUUCUUCCAUGAAUUACGUUACGAAGAUGAAAUCUGGUGCCCAGGAUUGAACGGAACUGGAUACGCUUGGUAAUAAUCGAAUUCGGAUUACGUAAGAUGAAAAUUUUUCUUUGGCCAAGCACGACGAUCUGCUACACGUGUCUGAGAGUCUGUUGGACGUUCUAUAUUGUAAUCCAAUGUACUUUAUACAUAUUUUAUUGAUGUAUUGUUUUGUACUUACGUGUAACUAUUGUCUUGGUGGAUUAUUUUCGAUGUGUUAUUUGUAAUAACUUCUUGGUAGCAUUAAACUUUUGAAUUUUACUAAGCUGUUGUACUUGUACGAAAUAAAAUACCAUUUGUUAUCUCAAUGUCUCACUGUAA